ACUCCAGCUGCUCCAUGUCUCUCCUGUACUGAGGACUCCACAUCUGAACUCAGUACUCCAGUGAAGCAUAAAUGUUAAUGCUGAAACAAGCUACUGUCAUGCAUGUAAGGUGUUCUGCCUUUCCUCGGGAGUUGUGCUGCUGCUCCAGUGGGAAGAAUAACAUGACAGCUCGACAGGCUUUGUGUCUGCUACAGCUUGUACCAAUACAAAAGCAGCAAGACAGCGUGUGCAUGAUAUCACAGCAACUGCUGCCUGUGCCGAAGAUGACCGGCUGGGGGAUAAUUGCUGUGGCACUGGGGGAUGCCUGAGGAAGCAGGGCUUCAUCUGCAGCUUCUGCCUGCGAGUUUGAACUAUAGAAGCCCCGGGGGCCUUCUCCAUUUUAGACCCACAUCCACCCUGCUGAUCUUCACUACAAAGCCAGCUAGGGUGAUUCAGCAGAGACGUGCUGUGUGUCUCAUGAAGCGUGGAUACUGUGCUUGUGGUAUUUGGGAGUGAUGGGCUGGUGAGGUCGGUGCUGCCGGCCCUCCACUCUCCUGGCUCCCGCAGUACAAGUUCCUCCCAGGCUGGGAGGAGGAUGUGUGGGUUGGGCUGGGGACACAACAAGGUUAAUGCUUUUCCUCCUCAGGCAAACACCAGUUCAAACGCUUUCUUCCCCAGGAGCCAGUGGUGUGCAGAUAAAUGUUCCGCUUUGUUCCUCACAGCUGAGGUUCCGGCUGUGGCCUGUCCUUCCUGAGCGGGAAGGAAGCAGAACUGAACGCUCAUUGAGAAAGACGCCACGGAACUGUGAGAAGAAAAUGGCCAAGGCCAGCCUGGCUCAUCCCAGGUCACCCUUGGUGAUAUGUGCCCGGCGCUGCCACUGGGGAGUCUCUGCUCCUGCCUUUUAGUUUGUUUCCCCUUAAUGCUUUUUCAUUUAUUUAUUUAUUUAUUUUGUCACCAGCAUUUACACAAGUGAGAGGUACCAGCCCAUCCACAAGCCGAGGGGAAGGCAGGUAUGGCUGGUGAACUCACAGCUGGCCUCCUGCAGGGUGGCACGGCCACCUUACUUCUCAACCUUCCAAGGCCCAUCCAAUCCUCUUCAUAUCAUUACAGGAUGUUUGAGGUAAGGAGCCAUCUCUGAAGUCACCUUGAAUAACCCCGCUGCUCAAGCAGAGACACCUAGAGGGACUCCAAGGAAGUAGGCACUGGGGGAAAGGUUUGCCUUGUCUGUGGCCCAUAGGCUCCAUGUGCAGCCAGACAAACUGGUGUAGGAGCCAGUUACCAUCAGUGACACUCCAGUCAGCAGCCCAGUACUUGCUUGAGGGUGGAGGGACGUAAAUCUACUAGAGAGUGUCCGAAGGAGAGCUGCAAGGAUGGGGAAGGGCCUGAAGGGCAAAGUUGUGUGAGGAGUGGCUGAGGCCGCCGGGUUUGCUCAGUGCAGAGCAGAGGAGCUGAGAGGAGGCCUCACGGUGGCUGCAGCAGAGGGCAGCCCUGAGCUCUGCUCUGUGUGACAGCGAUAGGGCCUGAGGGGACAGCAUGGAGCUGUGUCAGGGGAGGGGCAGCUGGGGGUGAGGGACAGGGUCUGCCCCAGAGGGCGGUGGGCACAGCCCAGUGGCAGCGCUCAAGGAGCGUUUUCUGUGAUUCUACGUUGUUCAGAAGGAGAUUACACCUGACCCUGCAUGGGGAGAAGCACCAGUGAUGCAUGAUCCUCCCUGAUUCAGCCUGAUUAGCUGGGCGCUGGGAUGCAGUCAGAAAUGUUACAGACUUUUUUCCUCUCCACUUUUACACCUAGGAAUAAUUAUAAGCAAAUGUGGCUAUUUUAAUAAUCAUAUUUUAUUGUUUACUUAAUUUUGAAAGCAAUUAAGACUACAAAAAAUAGCUCUAAACUGAAAAAACUGUAAUAUGCAAUCAGAAAAAUGAGGACCUGAUUCUAUAAACAAUCAUUUGUGCAAGCAAACCCAAAUCCCAAUAUGUCCACUGGCUUCAGGACUCCAAAUUCUGCUUAAAACUGUGCCAAAUUCUUGGUGCAGGGGUCAACAAUACUGUCCUUUGAGUUCUGGACAAUGUUGUAUGUACAUGUAUAUCUACAGAUAUAUGCAUACAAUGCAUACUUACAUAUAUACAUUCAUUUAAGCUCUAGGCAAUAUUCUAUGUACAUAUAUGUAUGUAUGUAGAAAAUGCGUAUAUAUACAAUAUGCACGUAUACAAUACAUAUGUAUGUGUAUUUGUGAUACAUGUGCAUAUGUGUGCAUGUACAACAUAUACAUGUAAGUGCUUUUGCUCUGCUGUCCACAGCAAACACAGCUUGGGGCCAAGGACCAAAACGUACAAAGCACAGGGAACCAAGGAACUAAAAUCCAAACCCAAGCUUGACUUUUGCACCUGGCCGUAAUCACUGUCCUUGCCUUUCACCUGCAGCUGCUUGCAGUGCCCUGGGGUGGGGACUGAAAUAACCCAGAGGCAGGCACACCAAAUGCAGGGAGGUGCACCUCCUCCAGGCCCAGCAGCACAGUUACUCCCCUAAGUCAGUCCCUCACAGAAGUGCUGCGCCAUCUGCCAUGCAGCUGCACUUCUCAAUGAUCAUGUUGGGAAACUCAGUUGCUUCAAUCUCAGUGUGGUUGCCCCUCCGGACCAGGUACAUGAUGGGGAGCGGGGAGCUCUCGGCCACAGCGCAGGCACGCUCCCUGCCCCCCCAGAGCUGUAGUGGGCCAGGAAGCUGCAGGCAGCCCCCCCGGCAGCUGUAAGCCUGGUAUCCUGCCGGCUCGAUGACCCAGUACUGUGUCCAGGAGAGCUCACGGAAGUUGAUGUAGUGCUUCUGCCGGCAGCAGGUGGACUUCCCUGCCUGCACUCCAUCCUUGCAGUCCCCAGGGCCCCUGUGUGCAAUGGGAGAAACAUUAGGAAAUAGGGAAGGCUGAUGGC